rnacentral:rRNA from 1 species
UACGAAGGGGGCUAGCGUUGUUCGGAUUUACUGGGCGUAAAGCGCACGUAGGCGGAUCGUUAAGUCAGGGGUGAAAGCCCGGGGCUCAACCCCGGAAUAGCCUUUGAGACUGGAUUGCUUGAACAUCGGAGAGGUGAGUGGAAUUCCGAGUGUAGAGGUGAAAUUCGUAGAUAUUCGGAAGAACACCAGUGGCGAAGGCGGCUCACUGGACGAUUGUUGACGCUGAGGUGCGAAAGCGUGGGGAGCAAACAGG